AUCAAAAACAUGUCCUUUAGAAAAUUGAUUAAAGGUCCAAUCUGCUCAAUGAUUUUAAUUAAAUAGCUGCAGUAUACUGACUGUACAAAGGUAGCAAAGUAAAUAGUUUAUUAAUUGUGAACUUGAAUGAAGGAUUUGAUAAGAAAUUGACUUUUUUUUCUUUAUUUUAAUUUAACUUAAUUUUUAAGUUAAAAUUCUUAAAUAAUGUUAUGGGACGAGAAGACCCUGUAGAUUUUUAUAUUUAUAAUUUAAUAGGUGGUUAUUAAUAGUAUUAAACUAUAAAUAUUUGAAUGGGGAAUUCUUUAAAUUAUGUAAUUUUAAUUAAUUAUAUUCAAAUAUUUUUGUUUGGGUGAAUAAAAUUCAUUAUAGAUAAAAAUACCUCAGGGAUAACAGCGUAAUUGAUUAUGAGAGAUCAUAUUUUAUAGUUUGGUUGCGACCUCGAUGUUG
rnacentral:rRNA from 1 species